rnacentral:rRNA from 1 species
UUGAAGUGUGGACGCCAGUCUGCAUGGAGCCGACCUUGAAAUACCACCCUUUAAUGUUUGAUGUUCUAACGUGGGCCCCUUACCGGGGUUGCGGACAGUGUCUGGUGGGUAGUUUGACUGGGGCGGUCUCCUCCUAAAGAGUAACGGAGGAGCACGAAGGUUGGCUAAUCCUGGUCGGACAUCAGGAGGUUAGUGCAAUGGCAUAAGCCAGCUUGACUGCGAGCGUGACGGCGCGAGCAGGUGCGAAAGCAGGUCAUAGUGAUCCGGUGGUUCUGAAUGGAAGGGCCAUCGCUCAACGGAUAAAAGGUACUCCGGGGAUAACAGGCUGAUACCGCCCAAGAGUUCAUAUCGACGGCGGUGUUUGGCACCUCGAUGUCGGCUCAUCACAUCCUGGGGCUGAAGUAGGUCCCAAGGGUAUGGCUGUUCGCCAUUUAAAGUGGUACGCGAGCUGGGUUUAGAACGUCGUGAGACAGUUCGGUCCCUAUCUGCCGUGGGCGCUGGAGAACUGAGGGGGGCUGCUCCUAGUACGAGAGGACCGGAGUGGACGCAUCACUGGUGUUCGGGUUGUCAUGCCAAUGGCACUGCCCGGUAGCUAAAUGCGGAAGAGAUAAGUGCUGAAAGCAUCUAAGCACGAAACUUGCCCCGAGAUGAGUUCUCCCUGACUCCUUGAGAGUCCUGAAGGAACGUUGAAGACGACGACGUUGAUAGGCCGGGUGUGUAAGCGCAGCGAUGCGUUGAGCUAACCGGUACUAAUGAACCGUGAGGCUUAACCUU